rnacentral:rRNA from 1 species
UACGUAGGGCGCAAGCGUUGUCCGGAAUUAUUGGGCGUAAAGAGCUCGUAGGCGGCCAGUUGCGUCUGCUGUGAAAUCCCGGGGCUCAACCCCGGGCGUGCAGUGGAUACGGGCUGGCUAGAGGCAGGCAGGGGAGAACGGAAUUCCCGGUGUAGCGGUGAAAUGCGCAGAUAUCGGGAGGAACACCGGUGGCGAAGACGGUUCUCUGGGCCUGUACUGACGCUGAGGAGCGAAAGCGUGGGGAGCGAACAGG